AACGAACGCUGGCGGCAUGCCUAACACAUGCAAGUCGAACGAGACCUUCGGGUCUAGUGGCGCACGGGUGCGUAACGCGUGGGAAACUGCCCUUAGGUUCGGAAUAACUCCCCGAAAGGGGUGCUAAUACCGGAUAAUGUCUUCGGACCAAAGAUUUAUCGCCUUUGGAUGGGCCCGCGUUGGAUUAGCUAGUUGGUAGGGUAAAAGCCUACCAAGGCGACGAUCCAUAGCUGGUCUGAGAGGAUGAUCAGCCACACUGGGACUGAGACACGGCCCAGACUCCUACGGGAGGCAGCAGUGGGGAAUAUUGGACAAUGGGCGAAAGCCUGAUCCAGCAAUGCCGCGUGAGUGAUGAAGGCCUUAGGGUUGUAAAGCUCUUUUACCCGGGAUGAUAAUGACAGUACCGGGAGAAGAAGCUCCGGCUAACUCCGU
rnacentral:rRNA from 1 species